rnacentral:rRNA from 1 species
CUUGGUCAUUUAGAGGAAGUAAAAGUCGUAACAAGGUUUCCGUAGGUGAACCUGCGGAAGGAUCAUUACACAAAUAUGAAGGCGGGCUGGAACCUCUCGGGGUUACAGCCUUGCUGAAUUAUUCACCCUUGUCUUUUGCGUACUUCUUGUUUCCUUGGUGGGUUCGCCCACCACUAGGACAAACAUAAACCUUUUGUAAUUGCAAUCAGCGUCAGUAACAAAUUAAUAAUUACAACUUUCAACAACGGAUCUCUUGGUUCUGGCAUCGAUGAAGAACGCAGCGAAAUGCGAUAAGUAGUGUGAAUUGCAGAAUUCAGUGAAUCAUCGAAUCUUUGAACGCACAUUGCGCCCAUUAGUAUUCUAGUGGGCAUGCCUGUUCGAGCGUCAUUUCAACUAUCAAGCCCUAUUUGCUUGGCGUUGGGAGCUUGCCCUACCCUGUAGGACAACUCCUCAAAUAUAUUGGCGGAGUCGCGAAGACCCCAAGCGUAGUAAUUUUUUCUCGCUUCAGGUGUGUCAGCGCUGGCAUCCAGCCAUUAAACCCCUAAUUUUU